rnacentral:rRNA from 1 species
CUACGGGAGGCAGCAGCAAGGAAUCUUCCGCAAUGGGCGAAAGCCUGACGGAGCAACGCCGCGUGUGGGAUGACGCCUUUCGGGGUGUAAACCACUUUUCUCGGGGAAGAAGCACUGACGGUACCUGAGGAAGAAGGACCGGCUAACUACGUGCCAGCAGCCGCGGUAAUACGUAGGGUCCGAGCGUUGUCCGGAGUUACUGGGCGUAAAGCGCGCGCAGGCGGCGGUGUAAGCAUGGCGUGAAAGCCCCAGGCUUAACCUGGGAGGGUCGUCGUGGACUGCACCGCUUGAGGGCGGUAGGGGCUGGUGGAAUGCCUGGUGUAGUGGUGAAAUGCGUAGAGAUCAGGCGGAACACCCGUGGCGAAGGCGGCCAGCUGGGCCGUCCCUGACGCUGAGGCGCGAAGGCGUGGGGAGCGAACGGGAUUAGAUACCCUUGUAGUCC